ACUAUGGUCUUAUUCUCCACUCAUCUUUAUACAUAAUGUAAUGUCCUAUUCUUUGUGUUAACUAAACUCAUAACAUCUGACAUUGCCUUGUUUGAUUUUGUGUACAUUUAUGUAGAAUUUAAGUAUAUUUAUUUUCUGGUUUAUAUGAUCAGUAAAAAAUACUAUUGAGUCAUUUAAUUUGUAUGAUCUUGCAUAAGAAAAGGACAUGGUGGCAGAUGGGACUUUUUAAACAUACAGCUGACUGGGGGAUUUUAUAAAAGAUAAAGUCCAGCUUAUAGUCCUGUGUUCUACGCUGUAGCUACACUGUAGGCCAGGGCUAUUCAAAUUUUACCCUGGAGGGCCGGAGCACUGGAUAGUUUACCUCCAACCCUAAUUUUCUAGUGAUCAUGAAGACCUUGAUUAGCUUGCUCAGGUGUGUUUGAUCAGGGUUGGAGCUAAACUCUGCAGUGCUCCGGCCCUCCAGGGUAAGAUUUGAAUAGCUCUGCUGUAGGCUAUGCGUAGCCGGAUGUGCACCUCUGCAAAAUUCUAACAACGCGUCAGUUCAACGCUAGAAUCCCCUCCCGUCAGGUCCUCGUACGGUUUUUCGCUAACAACGGUAAAAACAAAGAUGGGUCAAGUUGAGGAAUGACAAACUCAAGCUGCAACAAAAGUCGCUGUCCAUUUACCUCCAUCACAGCUAAUCUGCUUAAAUUGUACACAACAAACUGCUUCUUCUUUGGUGGGUUUAACUGGCCAAGCGCUUACUUCUUCGUCUGUUCCAUUGCUACUGUGGGUUAGACACAUGGAUACUGCUUACCAGUGGUCUGCAUGUGUGUUUGCGCGUUGAUGCGGACAACAACACAGAAGUAUAUAUAUAUAAAAAAAAAGACGCGUAGGCUACGCCGUAGGACCUACACACAAUGCACAAGGCCUUCAGAUGCUCCGGUCAGGUUUUGAGGGGACAAAAUGGCUGUGUUUACAUAAAAUUUUGUCAUUCUGACUGAAUUUAAUCCGAUUGAAGGUUACGACAACACAGUUUACAUGUACCCUAAACAAUGCAAGCUGAUUAAAAUGUUUGUUUACAUAUACAUUCUAUGUAAGCCGAACCGAACGUCUUCGCAAGCACACAGCCAGAGUUAUCAGAUUCACGCAUAAAAACCAUCUCAAUGGACAUUCAAGACUAGCACAAAAGCAUCCCAAAGACUAUUCACGGACCAAAUACCAAUAACUAAUAAACUAAACCUUUUCAUCUUUAACCCGUAGUAGGAAAAAACAGGUGUGAACAGUUUAAACAGUAGCCCAAAUCUAAACUCGAAAAAAGCAAAGGAGCAACGCUACGCUGCGGACAGCAUUUCUCAUCGAAUUCGCGCUUUAUCAAAAGUCAAAGCUGAGUUGGAGAAAGUUGUUCUUAAGAAGUUUUCAGAUAAAGUUAAUAAAACACAAUUUUCUAAGGCACAAUGCUAUUUUAUUGCUUUAUGUAGCCUAAGGUUAUGAAAGUACACGUAAACACUGCAAAAUGUACAGAGCGCAAGUUCAUGUCUUAUAUUUAAGAUCAAAGAUCUGUGAUCACGGAUCGGACUACACCAUCUCUUUCAAUACGAUUGAAAUUUGCAUCUGAUCGACCUCAAUUGUACUGAUUAAGAUGUUUACAUGAAGGCUUUUCAAUGCCAUUGAGCCAUUAAUAUGAUUUCAAAUGGAUUAUUUGGUUGCAUGUAAACUUAGCUACAGACUGGAAAACAUCAGUAGGUGGCGACAAUCACACUAAAUUAAUAGCUCCAAGAAAUGAGAAGAGGAUCAGCUCACGAGGAGCAGUUUGAGCAUUAGUGUUGUGCUCUUCGUCGUUUAUGAGAUUAAUGUUUGUUUGUUUAUCUCUAUCUGUGAGCAUUAUAAUUAUGUUUGUGUGUGGAUGAUAUGAGAUGGAUGUGAUGUGCUGUAAAUUAGAUUUGUCCAUGCUGGAUAUUGAUGAAAGAGAAAGAGGUGGCAUUACGGGAGACAAAGCUAAAGUCAAGAGGAGAUGAAGGACUGAAAAGAGAGACCUCCUGAAGGUGAAGGAGGAAAGUUUACAAUGAAUUCAAAGAGAAACCUCAUCAUUUUAAACCUGAAGAAGAAUCUCUGAGCUGCUUAAAGAUUCCUAACGGAUGUUGAUUAUGUCUCUCGCAGUGGACAUGCACCUAUGAUGACAAUUCCAGACCCCUCCAUGAUUUCUAAGUGGGAGAACUUGCAAAAUACCAGGGUGUUCAAAUACUUAUUUUCCUCACUGUAUUUCGAACGCAUCUAAUGUUUCCAGAUCAAUCAAAAUGUGGAAAAUGUAAGAACUUUUUAAAGGAAAGAUUUGAACCUAAACAGAUUAAACUAAAUGUGUUGUGUGACUUUU